GCAUCGAUGAAGAACGCAGCGAAACGCGAUAUGUAAUGUGAAUUGCAGAAUUCAGUGAAUCAUCGAAUCUUUGAACGCACAUGGCGCCUUCCAGUAUCCUGGGAGGCAUGCCUGUCCGAGCGUCGUUUCAACCCUCGAGCCCCCGUGGCCCGGCGUUGGGGAUCUGCCACGGCAGGCCCCUAAAACCAGUGGCGGACCCGAAGGCCCUCUCCUUUGCGCAGUAGCAUCAGCCUCGCAUUGGGAUCCCUCGGCGUCCUGCCUCUAAACCCCCCACAAGUCCGCUCCGGCGGCACCAAGGUUGACCUCGGAUCAGGUAGGAAUACCCGCUGAACUUAAGCAUAUCAAUAAGCGGAGGA
rnacentral:misc_RNA from 1 species